rnacentral:rRNA from 1 species
GACGAACGCUGGCGGCGUGCUUAACACAUGCAAGUCGAACGGACAGGUCCUGCUCUUGUGGGGCGCUCGAGUGGCGAACGGGGGAGUAACACGUGAGUAACCUGCCCUUGACUUUGGGAUAACUUCAGGAAACUGCGGCUAAUACCGGAUAGGAGCUCCUGCUGCAUGGUGGGGGUUGGAAAGUUUCGGCGGUUGGGGAUGGAUUCGCGGCUUAUCAGCUUGUUGGUGGGGUAGUGGAUUACCAAGGCUUUGACGGGUAGCCGGCCUGAGAGCGUGACCGGCCACAUUGGUACUGAGAUACGGACCAGACUCCUACGGGAGGCAGCAGGGGGGAAUAUUGCACAAUGGGCGGGAGCCUGAUGCAGCAGCGCCGCGUGCGGGAUGACGGCCUUCGGGUUGUAAACCACUUUCGACUGUGACGAAGCGUUAGUGACGGUAAUGAGUAAAGAAGCACCGGCUAACUACGUG